rnacentral:rRNA from 1 species
UGAUUGAGGAGAUUCAUAGUCAGAUUAUUCAGUAUUAAGGCAGGCUAUGAUGUGAUAAUAGAAUCCUUGUGGUCACUAGAUUAUACUUGCUUGUAUUAUUUGCGCUGGGUACGUAGGCGGGCAUUUCUCCUUUAGUGGAACGUGGCAACCCGUCGGAUGUUAACCUAUGGCGUGAAUGGUAGCCCAUGAUAGUUCUUAUAUUAAAGACGUCCGAUGUCCUGAUAAACUUUUUGACGGUAUACAUAUGGUAAGAGCCGCAAUUCCAGCGUUAGACAGCCGCAAGUAAGACUUUAUUAGAGUAGUGCGGAUCCAAUGCCGUCGCUGGACAAAGU